rnacentral:rRNA from 1 species
AGCUCCAAUAGCGUAUAUUAAAGUUGUUGCAGUUAAAAAGCUCGUAGUUGGAUAUCUGGUUGGAGCAAUCAAUCCGACACUUUGUGUGGGUAUUUGAAUUGUCUCUGACCAUCUUUGAGGAGAACUUGUCUGGCAUUAGGUUGUCGGGCAAGGGAUACUCAUCUUUUACUGUGAAAAAAUUAGAGUGUUCAAAGCAGGCUUAAGCCAUUGAAUAUAUUAGCAUGGAAUAAUAUUACAAGACCUUGAUACUAUUUUGUUGGUUUGUGUAUGAAGGUAAUGAUUAACAGGGACAGUUGGGGGUAUUCGUAUUCAAUUGUCAGAGGUGAAAUUCUUGGAUUUAUGGAAGACGAACUACUGCGAAAGCAUUUACCAAGGAUGUUUUCAUUAAUCAAGAACGAAA